rnacentral:lncRNA from 1 species
UCGUACUAUGUCUAGACCAGAAACAACAUCAAUAGUGUGUCAUGUGGGUUCAUCCAGCGACACAUAAAUGUAGCGUGGAAAAAUUUAAAUUCUAAUUCAUCAAGUAUAUGUCGCCAGUAGUAUUUUCAGAUGAUGUUUAAAUGUCGUCUUUAAACAAAUUAACUUACACCUAUAUGUUGUUGUAAGGCAUAUUUCUCUCUCUCUCGUAGUUAUAAGGCGACACAAAGAGCUGUGUCGCCUCAGGGCAAAAAAAAGAUACGUCGCCUUUUAGCAUGUCGUUGUUUAAACUAUCAAGCGACAUAUACACCAUGUCGUUUUAUCUCAAUUCAGGCGACACAAAAUGAAAAAAGUCUUCUAUCGCCUGAGGUUCUUAUAGGCGACACAACAUUUGUGUCAUCGGAGAACCUCAUCAACGACAUGCUAGAAGACGACACUUACGAUUUUUAUCAGGCAACACAACAUUUGUGUCGCCUAAUGCAAGAAAUGGCAUAGUGCAAUACCACGUUUCACUAUGAAUCACUACCAGGACAAGCACUUUAGCCGACGAAAAAUUUUCGUCGGCCUGUUAGCUUAAUUCGUCGGCUAAGAUCUUAGCCGACGAAAGCUCGUCGGCUAAGAUUUCGUCGGGAAAAUGUCGUCUGUGGUGACUUUAGCCGACGACACAUGAAGAAGUCGUUGGCUAUAGUCCCAGAGUUUAGCCGACGAAAAACAUGUCGUCAGUUAUCUUCCCAGACUUUAGCCGACGAAACAUUUAAGAUAUUCGUCGGCUAUAGUCCUAGAGUUUAGCCGACGAAAAACAUGUCGUCGGUUUUUUCUCAGACUUUAGCCGACGAAAAACAUGUCGAUGGUUCCUUGUGUUGCGUUGCCGGUUCUGAGCGUUCGCCCGGGAAAUGGCCUUCAAAGAAAAAAAUAAAUUAUUAAUAAAAUAUUUAAAAAUGGACGUACUUAAUGACAAAUUAACUAAUUAAUUUUUUUAAAUACCUGUUUACGAGGGUUGUUGAAUUCUGAUGUCAGAAGCCAACGCCACUUGUACUCCCUGUACUAGAACUCAGCAGGCGUACCAGAAUGUGCGUUCCCGUGCGUAGUCCAGUGAGUCCGCAACUCGUUCUUCCACUCCUUGUACCUACAAAUACAACAAAAAUAUUAGAAAUAUUAUUAAUAUCACAUACAAUUUUGUUUUUCAUUAACUUCCCAACGUACCUUCCCCCAUGCACAACGUCCGCUCAGCUGUCCUUCAGGUGCUCGGAAACCUCAAACCACACCUGCAUUUAACCGUUUAUUGGUUUAGUUUUUUGAGAAAUCAACAAUGUAAUACAUAAUAUUAUUUUGUAAACUCACCGACAUCGCGUUGUGGACCAUGUCCUUAACCUCCUGCGGGACCUCGCCCCAGUCUGACCACAACAUAGGGACUCUAUCCCUAAUGAGCGCUCCCACGCGGCCAGAGUAUGUCCUCGACUUCCCGCCCGAUACUAUGUGGCCAUCCCCGUCAGUAUUGAUGACGAUCCUCCCCACGGUACUCACGAUCUUCUCGAGAGCCUUCCCUGUGACGGGGCCUCUCUUCUUCUUUGUCGGCUUUGCUCCGACGGUGCCUAUCACAUGAUAAACCAAAUUGAUUAUUAAAAUCGGAGACCCUUUAUUAUUAAUUAUAAGAAAACAAAUCAUUCAUCACUGAUUACCUGUGGCGCUCGCGACGGACGCGACGGAUUCCGUCUGUCGCCGAUGAUGAUACCCUCGCGGAAAUAAGAAGCGUAUCAAAAGGCACGAAUCGGUACGCCGCUGAUGGUGCCACUGGCGGGGGCAGUGGAUAAAUCGGCGUGAGCCAUCGACUACAGGUAAGGCCAGUAUCAUCCACGGAAGGAACAGAUGAGGCGGCGGCAUCUGUACCCCAGAUGACCCACUAACCGAAGAAGUAGGACCCAGAGUGGGCGCCCGGUGUAUCUCAGGCAUACGGGGUGCAGACACCUCCGUCUGGGUCUGAGGCCACAACUGCCUCGAGGAACGAGGGACGCCCGCCUACCUCAAUGAAAGGGGCACCUCCGGCUGCCUCUGCGCCGUCUCUAGAAGGCUCGCACGUCUGGCUGUCAUCUGGCCCUGAAACGACGUUUGAGGGUUGCUAGAGGUUCCCUCAGACGAUUCGGACCUUUGGCCCUUCGAACUCUUCUUCGAUCUAAAAUAGCCGCUCAUCCUAUUUAAAAUAUUAAUUUGAAUCAAGGCUGAGGCAUGGGCGGAUACACUCAUUCAAUGUUUCUCGUUAAUUCAAGGCUGAGGCAACAUUGAAAAAGUAAAAAUUCAAUCUUAUCCUUCUCAAAUCUAAGGCUCUAGAUUAUUUUGUCUUUAUUCUAUAAAAAAUAUUUUUGAAACCAUAUUUUUUCAUUAUGUUCAUGCUUAAAUUUAAACACUUAAUAUAAUGUGAAAUAUAUAUAUUUU